rnacentral:rRNA from 26 species
CCCCACUGCUAUCGGGAUAGGACUAAGACAUGCUAGUCGAGUGACUCAGGCAAAACGAGUCACGGCACACAGCUCAGUAACACGUGGCUAAUCUGCCCUUGGGACAAGAACAACCCCGGGAAACUGGGGCUAACUCUUGAUAGGCGAAGAACACUGGAAUGUGUCUUCACCCAAAAAACUUCACGUUAUCCUCGUGAAGUCGCCCAAGGAUGAGGCCGCGACCGAUCAGGUUGUUGGCGAGGUAAUGGCUCACCAAGCCUUUUACCGGUGCGGGCCGUGGGAGCGGGAGCCCGGAGAUGGGUACUGAGACAAGGACCCAGGCCCUACGGGGCGCAGCAGUCGCGAAAACUUUGCAAUAAGCGAAAGCUUGACAGGGCUAUCCCGAGUGCCAUCCGCUGAGGAAGGCUUUUACCCAGUCUAGAACGCUGGGGGAAUAAGGAGAGGGCAAGUCUGGUGUCAGCCGCCGCGGUAAUACCAGCUCUCCGAGUGGUGUGGAUGUUUAUUGGGCCUAAAGCAUCCGUAGCUGGCUAAGUUAGUCCCUUGUUAAAUCCACCGAAUUAAUCGUUGGAUUGCGGGGGAUACUGCUUGGCUAGGGGACGAGAGAGGCAGACGGUAUUUUCGGGGUAGGGGUGAAAUCCUAUAAUCCCGGGAAGACCACCAGUGGCGAAGGCUGUCUGCUAGAACGCGCCCGACGGUGAGGGAUGAAAGCUGGGGGAGCGAACCGGAUUAGAUACCCGGGUAGUCCCAGCUGUAAACGAUGCAGGCUAGGUGUUUGGACGGCCACGUGCCGUUCUAGUGCCGCAGGGAAGCUGUUAAGCCUGCCGCCUGGGGAGUACGAUCGCAAGAUUGAAACUUAA